rnacentral:lncRNA from 1 species
UAGAAAGACAAGCUGGCAUUGUAAAUUGAGAAAGACGGUGCUGCAGACACAAUGUUUCUGAACAUGCUCAAAGUGCUGUGGUGGCAUUGCUUUAGUGGCAUAGAGUGCCCUUGGAGCAUUUUCAAGAGGAUAGAUGUGUUGAAGAACAUGUUUGUGAGUUCCAGACAGGCCAGAUACUUCCUUGCUGCGUGGGCAGAUGGUCCUUCAGCCUCCUCUGUCUUUGAUGAGUUGUCUGUGCCUGUGUCAUCAAAACUCAAGUUAUAGGUGUAGAGCCUGCAUCUCUUCUUAACAGAGUUUUAUGAUCUUAAAGGAAACUAUACAGUGAACAGCCCUGCAAAGGUGAAGAGGAGCUUAUUACCAUGACACAGAUUUAACACUGGGCAAGUCUCACCUCUCUAAAUGUGCAUGACCCUGGUAAUGUAGUCUCAGUGUGUGUAAUGCAAAAAUUGACAGAUGAUUAGGAGCAAAAAU